GACGAACGCUGGCGGCGUGCCUAAUACAUGCAAGUCGAGCGGAACUGGGGGAGCUUGCUCCUUCCAGUUUAGCGGCGGACGGGUGAGUAACGCGUGGGCAACCUGCCCUGCAGAUCGGGAUAACUCCGGGAAACCGGUGCUAAUACCGGAUAGUUUGACGCCUCUCAUGAGGCGCUACGGAAAGACGGUUUGGGCUGUCACUGCAGGAUGGUCCCGCGGCGCAUUAGCUAGUUGGUGGGGUAACGGCCCACCAAGGCGACGAUGCGUAGCCGACCUGAGAGGGUGACCGGCCACACUGGGACUGAGACACGGCCCAGACUCCUACGGGAGGCAGCGGUAGGGAAUCUUCCGCAAUGGACGCAAGUCUGACGGAGCAACGCCGCGUGAGUGACGAAGGUUUUCGGAUCGUAAAACUCUGUUGUGAGGGAAGAACACGUACCAACUAACUAUUGGUACCUUGACGGUACCUCACCAGAAAGCCACGGCUAACUACGUGCCAGCCGCCGCGGUAA
rnacentral:rRNA from 1 species